rnacentral:rRNA from 1 species
AUGUGUUCAACCAUACCUAACUUGAGGAGAAGAGCAGGAUGCGGAAGCGCGACAGGGUGUGGAUUUGAUUCAUUUUGGGUUCAUGUUCACGUUCUACUGCUCUUCUACAUUGAGGAGAAGAGCAGCACGUACGCCAUCGGCACUAGCAGACGGGAUGACAGAGCUCAGCAAGAAUCACCUCGCAAAUCACAGAUCAACACUGAUGCAAAAGCCAAUCAGGGCGGAGUCAGCCGUCAGAUCUCCUGCAAAAGUAUAAAAGGGAGCCGCUCGUGUGGAGAAGACCUAGCCGCUGCUCCUCCCGCACUCGCGCCGCCCCCUCCUCCUCCUCCUCCCAUCGCCGCCCCCUCCUCCUCCUCCCACGGCCCACCUUCGCCCGUCUUCGCCUACGCUGCCGCCGCCUCUGGUGGCCAUCAGAGGCGGCCAUCGGCCCCUCCGCCCCACCCACGUGGGGAGAGAUAUGAAACUGCAGCUGAAAUGGUCGAGAAGUUUGAGUCAGGGACUAGAGAUUUGGGCAGCCACUACAGCAUAUCAAUGUCUAAUGAGGAUGCAACAACUGCCUCACAGAGAAGGCCCAGACUUAUGCUAACAAGGCCAAAGGAACCUGAGUUUCAGACUACUCACAUGGUCCGAGCAGUCAGAAUGAAAAGCUCUUCAGAACUAGAGGAGGAAAUGCUGGCCAAGAUCCCAAAGUUCAGAGCAUGGCCAUUUAACAAAAAGAUAGCUGAAGCUCCGUCUUUCCCUCCUCUUCCAAGGAUAGCUCCACAGCUUCCCGAUUUCAAUGAGUUUCACCUUAAAACAAUGGAAAGAGCGUCUCGACAUGAUGACACAUGUUCAGAAGCUUCUUCUGUAGAAACUAUGCGGGGUCAGGGUAGUAAGCCACUUAAACUGACUGAAGUGAAACCCCCACAACUUGAGACAGCACUGCACGAACUGGAACUAGAAGAAUUGAAGAAAGCCCCCAAGUUCAAGGCCAAGCCACUGAACAAAAAGAUUCUUGAGAGGAAGGGCGGUAUUGGUGUUUUUGCCCAUCCGAAGGUCCAGGCAACAGAGCCCAAGGAGUUCCAUUUUCGUACUGACGACCUCUUGGGACCUCCUGCAGUUGCGGAUCUUCUCGACAAGCUUUCUAUGUACUCUGAAUCUUCUUCCUACAAUGACAAGAGAGAUAUGCCGAGACUGACGAUACCCAAACCUUUCAAUCUACAUACAGAUAUAUGGAAGAUCUAA